GUAACCUAUUUAUCCAUAGCCAUGACAGAAAUCUGACACGGUGCAGAAGAGCUGGCCGCUCUCCUAUGCUCUUGGACUUACUGAGAUGCCUUCUUCCUGCCCUUGAGGGACCACCUUCCAGAGGUGUCAGAAAAAGGCAGCUGACAGAAAACCUGUUGGACACAGUUGGACUUUCAUUGAAGAUUUAAGAAUGCUAUUAUAAAAGCCUUCUAAUGCUCAGCUGGCUUUUUCCUUUGUGACUUACAGUCAAUCUGGCAGUGUGAAUAUUGUGCUCAGCUGGAAUUCCAAGUUAAGGGACCAGCACCAACUGCUAUUAUCUUGAGGCAAGAUAUUAAAAUAAGAAAAAGAAUGUGGAAAUGAAUGUGGAAAUGUGAAAAAUCUAACUAGAUGAGGACAGAUUAACCGUGUUGCUUAUGAAGCAGAAAAUCAGGAGCAAAGAUGGUUCUGGACUGAAAUAUCCUUACUCCAAUGUUGGCUUCAUUGACAAGACCGUGUGUGCAAACUUUUCAUUUAUCAUAUCAUCCCCUUGACAACGUGGAGUGGCAAUGUUCACAUUAGGAGGCUCAGCAGGGUAGACAGCUGCACUUUUUAUGAGGGCCGUUUGUCUUUCAUUACAAUUUAACCUUUCUCUGAACAAAGGGGGAAAGCGCCUGUCAUAGCAGAUGCGGCUGCAAGCAUUCUUUCUGAGUCUCUUUCUAUAGGCCGCUGGCCAAUCUGCCAACAGGCAGGGCAUUAAGAAUAGAUGAUGAUCUCAUAAUUCAAGGACUAGGUAUAAAAUAAGGGUGCUAGAAGAACAACGGUUCAUUGCUCAAUUCAUCCUUGAGGUUCAUAGGUUACAAGGUAGAACCGAAGGGCUUUUUGCUAAGAGUUGUAUGAUGGGAACAUUACUCAGCAAAAGGAAUAUUUUAGAGCAUGGACAUCCCUUUGGUAACAAUACUGUUGUUCAGUAUUGCUGUGUCAGUAGAAAGUGUAUAUAUUGACUGUCCUCUUAAUUCCCUCAACAAAUUAUUCACUAUGUCUGCAUUACUAUUACUAUUAAUCUUACGACUGUAUGACUGUAACUUGUUGCUAUAUCCUUAUGAUUUAUAUUGUUUCCUUGUAUGAUUUGAUUGCUUAUUUGUACCCUAUGACUAUCAUUAAGUGUUGUACCUUAUGAUUUUUGACGAAUGUAUCUUCUCUUUUUAUGUACACUGAGAGAAUAUGCACCA